rnacentral:rRNA from 1 species
GCUGGUUCUCUCCGAAAUAGCUUUAGUGCUAGCCUAAAGUGUUGAUUAUUGGAGGUAGAGCACUGUUUGGACGAGGGGCCCCUCUCGGGUUACCGAAUUCAGACAAACUCCGAAUGCCUAUUAAUUUAACUUGGGAGUCAGAACAUGGGUGAUAAGGUCCGUGUUCGAAAGGGAAACAGCCCAGACCACCAGAUAAGGUCCCAAAAUAUAUGUUAAGUGUAAAAGGAUGUGGCGUUGCCCAGACAACUAGGAUGUUGGCUUAGAAGCAGCCAACAUUUAAA